CUGAGCAGUUUUGCAGGCUUUUAUACCUAGCCUCCAGUAGGAGCAUGUCCAGCAGGGCUUCCGGGGCGAGGCUUCCUCUGCCAAGAAGGAAGGGUUAACCCCCUCGGCGCCAGUGUGGGGCCGCUCUGCCCCGUCACAACGGGCUUGUGGG